GCUAUCACUUGAGGGAUGGACCCGCGGCGUAUUAGCCAGUUGGUGGGGUAAUGGCCUACCAAAGCGAUGAUACGUAGCCGACCUGAGAGGGUAAUCGGCCACAUUGGGACUGAGACACGGCCCAAACUCCUACGGGAGGCAGCAGUAGGGAAUCUUCCACAAUGGACGCAAGUCUGAUGGAGCAACGCCGCGUGAGUGAAGAAGGCUUUCGGGUCGUAAAACUCUGUUAUUGAAGAGGAACGUGUGUGAGAGUAACUGCUCAUGCAGUGACGGUAUUCAACCAGAAAGUCACGGCUAACUACGUGCCAGCAGCCGCGGUAAUACGUAGGUGGCAAGCGUUGUCCGGAUUUAUUGGGCGUAAAGCGAGUGCAGGCGGUUUUUUAAGUCUGAUGUGAAAGCCUUCGGCUUAACCGAAGAAGUGCAUCGGAAACUGGGAAACUUGAGUGCAGAAGAGGAGAGUGGAACUCCAUGUGUAGCGGUGAAAUGCGUAGAUAUAUGGAAGAACACCAGUGGCGAAGG
rnacentral:rRNA from 1 species